UACGAGGGGGGCAAGCGUUGUUCGGAAUUAUUGGGCGUAAAGGGCGCGUAGGCGGUGCGGUAAGUCACCUGUGAAAACUCUGGGCUCAACUCAGAGCCUGCAGGCGAAACUGCCGUGCUUGAGUGUGGGAGAGGUGCGUGGAAUUCCCGGUGUAGCGGUGAAAUGCGUAGAUAUCUGGAGGAACACCGGUGGCGAAGGCGGCAUCCUGGACCGACACUGACGCUGAGGAGCGAAAGCCAGGGGAGCAAACGGG
rnacentral:rRNA from 1 species